GUGCUCGCCUCGGCAGCACAUAAACUGGAAUUGGAAUGGUACAGAGAAGAUUAGCAUGGUGCCUGUGCAAGGAAAAAAAAAGGUAAGAAAAGGAAAAUAAAAAGGUCAU